GGCUGGCGGCGUGCUUAGNACAUGCAAGUCGAGCGAUGAAGCGACCCUUUCGGGGUGUGAAUUAGCGGCGAACGGGUGAGGAACACGUGAAGAAUCUGCCUUCAACUCUGGGAUAACUCCGGGAAACCGGGGCUAAUACCGGAUAUGAGCCUUGAUCGCAUGAUCGGGGCUGGAAAGUUUUUCGGUUGAAGAUGAUCUCGCGGCCUAUCAGCUUGUUGGUGAGGUAAUGGCUCACCAAGGCGACGACGGGUAGCCGGCCUGAGAGGGCGACCGGCCACACUGGGACUGAGACACGGCCCAGACUCCUACGGGAGGCAGCAGUGGGGAAUUUUGGACAAUGGGGGCAACCCUGAUCCAGCAAUGCCGCGUGAGUGAAGAAGGCCUUCGGGUUGUAAAGCUCUUUUGUCAGGGAAGAAACAGCAGCUCUAACACAGUCUGCGAAUGACGGUACCUGAAGAAUAAGCACCGGCUAACUACGUG
rnacentral:rRNA from 1 species